rnacentral:rRNA from 1 species
AGUGAACGCUGGCGGUAGGCCUAACACAUGCAAGUCGAACGGCAGCACAGUAAGAGCUUGCUCUUACGGGUGGCGAGUGGCGGACGGGUGAGGAAUACAUCGGAAUCUACUUUUUCGUGGGGGAUAACGGAGGGAAACUUACGCUAAUACCGCAUACGACCUACGGGUUAAAGCAGGGGAUCUUCGGACCUUUCGCGAUUGAAUGAGCCGAUGUCGGAUUAGCUAGUUGGCGGGGUAAAGGCCCACCAAGGCAACGAUCCGUAGCUGGUCUGAGAGGAUGAUCAGCCACACUGGAACUGAGACACGGUCCAGACUCCUACGGGAGGCAGCAGUGGGGAAUAUUCGACAAUGGGCGCAAGCCUGAUCCAGCCAUACUGCGUGGGUGAAGAAGGCCUUCGGGUUGAAAAGCCCUUUUGUUGGGAAAGAAAAGCAGCAGGUUAAUACCCCGCUGUUCUGACGGUACCCAAAGAAUAAGCACCGGCUAACUUCGUG